rnacentral:rRNA from 1 species
AGAGUGAACGCUGGCGGUAGGCCUAACACAUGCAAGUCGAACGGCAGCACGGUAAGAGCUUGCUCUUAUGGGUGGCGAGUGGCGGACGGGUGAGGAAUACAUCGGAAUCUACCUUUUGGUGGGGGAUAACGUAGGGAAACUUACGCUAAUACCGCAUACGCCCUUCGGGGGAAAGCCGGGGACCAGCAAUGGCCUGGCGCUGAUAGAUGAGCCGAUGUCGGAUUAGCUAGUGUGAGUAAUGCUCACGAAGGCGAGAUCCGUAGCGUGGUCUGAGGAGGAUGAGUCAGCCACGACGUGGAACUGACGACGACGGUCCAG